rnacentral:rRNA from 1 species
UACGAAGGGGGCUAGCGUUGUUCGGAUUUACUGGGCGUAAAGCGCACGUAGGCGGAUCUUUAAGUCAGAGGUGAAAUCCCAAGGCUCAACCUUGGAACUGCCUUUGAUACUGGGGAUCUUGAGUCCGGGAGAGGUGAGUGGAACUGCGAGUGUAGAGGUGAAAUUCGUAGAUAUUCGCAAGAACACCAGUGGCGAAGGCGGCUCACUGGCCCAUAACUGACGCUGAGGCACGAAAGCGUGGGGAGCAAACAGG